AAAGACUUGUACAAUGAAAACUACAGAACAUUACUGAAAUAAAUUAAAGAAGAUGUAAUAAAUGGAGACACAUCCCAUUUUCAUGGAUUGGAAGACUUGAUAUUGUUAAAAUGUCAGUAUUACCCAAAAGGAUCUACAGACUCAACGCAAUCCCUACCAAAAUCUCAAUGACAUUUUUUGCAGAAGUAUAAAAACCCCACCUAAAAUUCAUUUGGAAUCUCAGGGGACCCCAAAUAGCCAAAACAAUCCUGAAAAAGAAGAUUAAAACUGAAGGACUCUCACUCCCUGAUUUCAAAACCUCCUACAAUGAGAUACCACUUAACAUCCAUCAGGAUGGCUGCUAUCAAAACAACAGAAAUCAACAAUGUUGCUUCAGAUGUGGGGAAAUUGGAGGCCUUGUGCACUGUUAGUGAGAAUGUAAAAUGUAAAAUGGUUCAGCUGCUUUGGAAAACAGUAUGGGAGGUCCUCAAAAAAUUAAAAAUAGAAUUACCAUAUGACCGAGCAAUUCCACUUCUGGGUAUAGAGCCAAAGAAUUGGAAGCAAGGUCUUGAAAAGAUAUUUGUACACCUGUGUUCAUAGCAGCAUUAUUCACAAGAGCUAAAAUGUAGAAGCAACCUAAGCGUCCAUUGAUGGAUGAAUGGAUAAGCAAAAUGUGGUAUAUAGAUACAAUGGAAUACUAGUCAGCCUUAAAAAAUAAAGGAAUUCAUCAGUGUGCUGCAAUGUGGAUGAACCUUCGGGACACGAUGCUAAAUGAAAUAAGUCAGUCACAAAAAGACAAAUGCUGUAUGAUUCCACUUAUGUGAGGUACUUAGAGUACUCAAAACUGUAGAGACAGAAAGUACAAUGAUGGUUGCCAGGGGCUAGGGGGAGGGGAAAUGGGGAGUUACUGUGUAAUAGGUAUAGAGUCUCAGAGUUACAAGAGUUCUGGAGACCGAUGGUGGUGAUGACUGCACAAGAAGGUGAAUAUAGUUACCACCACUGAACUGUACACUUAAAAAUGGUUAAGAUGGUAAGUUUUAUAAUAAGUAUAUUUCAACACAAUAAAAAAAUUACCCCUAGACAAGACACAGCUCUGGGCCUGCCUAAUAAAGCUAAAUGACAAGCUCAAGAAUAUUUGUAGGAAAUAUACAGCACCCAACAAGUUCAGAUCCUGGGCACAGACAUGGCACCACUCAUCAAGCCACGCUGAGGCAGUGUCCCACGUGCCACAACUAGAAGGACCCACAACUAGAAUAUACAACUAUGUACUGGGGGAAUUUGGGGAGAAAAAGCAGAAAAAAAAGAAGAUUGGCAACAGUUGUUAGCUCAGGUGCCGAUCUUUAAAAAGAAAGAAAGAGAGAGAAAGAUCUCAAAUCAAUAACCUAGCUGUGCACCUUGAG
rnacentral:lncRNA from 1 species